rnacentral:rRNA from 1 species
CAAAGAACUUUGAAGAGAGAGUUCAAGAGGGCGUGAAACCGUUUAGAGGGAAACGGGUAGAGCCAAUGAAAGCUGUCGGUACUCAGCCUGAACCGGAAGGUAAAGGUGUAUUUGCUGUCAGCGGCGCCAGGCGUAGUGGUGCUUACUGUCGAUGCCUAUAAAGAGGGCCUUUACGGAGGUAUCCUUUGUGGGUGGAAUCGGUUUCGUGCUACUUACAAGGUGUCUACCCUUAUGGUGUCUGAUCAUAGCGAUGUGUUGACUGUGCUGUUGUGGAGCUUGCUCUGCUUUGGUAUGGAAGAUAUGUUGUGAUUGUGAGGACAUGAUGCUGGCCUGGUGAAAAAGUUGGUCACCUACCCGACCCGUCUUGAAACACGGACCAAGGAGUCUAACAUGUGCGCGAGUUGAAAGGUGGUAAACCUAAAUAGCGCAAUGAAAGUAAAGGUCGGUUUAACCGGCUGAUAUGGGACCCUUCACUGCGGUGUUGGGGCACCAUAGUCCCGUCGCGUCUGCUUGUCAGUGCGGCGGAGACAGAGCGUACACGUUGGGACCCGAAAGAUGGUGAACUAUGCCUGAGCAGGAUGAAGCCAGGGGAAACUCUGGUGGAGGUCCGAAGCGGUUCUGACGUGCAAAUCGAUCGUCAGACUUGGGUAUAGGGGCGAAAGACUAAUCGAACCAUC